rnacentral:rRNA from 2 species
UAAGGUGGUUAUAGCACGAGGGAUCCACCUCUUCCCAUUCCGAACAGAGAAGUUAAGCCUCGUCACGCCGAUGGUACUGCUAUAUUGUGGGAGAGUAGGUAGCCGCCGUUU